CUGCUGCCUCCCGUAGGAGUCUGGUCCGUGUCUCAGUACCAGUGUGGGGGACCUUCCUCUCAGAACCCCUAUCCAUCGUGGACUUGGUGAGCCGUUACCUCACCAACUAUCUAAUGGAACGCAUGCCCAUCUAUCAGCGAUAAUUCUUUAACAAAUAUUUCCAUGUGGAACCCCUGUUUUAUGCGGUAUUAGUCCGACUUUCGCCGGGUUAUUCCCCUCCUGAUAGGUAGGUUGCAUACGCGUUACUCACCCGUGCGCCGGUCCG
rnacentral:rRNA from 1 species